rnacentral:rRNA from 1 species
CAGUAGCCGCGGGAAUACGAAGGGUGCAAGCGUUAAUCGGAAUUACUGGGCGUAAAGCGUGCGUAGGCGGUUUGUUAAGUCUGUUGUGAAAUCCCCGGGCUCAACCUAGGAAUGGCAAUGGAUACUGGCAAGCUAGAGUGUGUCAGAGGAUGGUGGAAUUCCCGGUGUAGCGGUGAAAUGCGUAGAGAUCGGGAGGAACAUCAGUGGCGAAGGCGGCCAUCUGGGACAACACUGACGCUGAGGCACGAAAGCGUGGGGAGCAAACAGGAUUAGAUACCCGCGUAGUCCCUGUCUCUUAUAC